CAGUCGCCGCGGUAAGACGGAGGGUGCUAGCGUUGUUCGGAAUCACUGGGCGUAAAGGGCGCGUAGGCGGCCUGUUAAGUCGGAUGUGAAAGCCCGGGGCUCAACCCCGGAACUGCAUCCGAGACUGGCAGGCUUGAGACCGGGAGAGGAGGGUGGAAUAUCCAGUGUAGAGGUGAAAUUCGUAGAUAUUGGAUGGAACACCGGUGGCGAAAGCGGCUCUCUGGCCCGGAUCUGACGCUGAGGCGCGAAAGCGUGGGGAGCAAACAGGAUUAGAUACCCCGGUAGUCCCUGUCUCUUAUAC
rnacentral:rRNA from 1 species